rnacentral:lncRNA from 1 species
AAUACCUUUAUCGCGGUGGGUAUCAUUGCUGCCUGAUAUUCAGAUAAGUUCUUCAAUGGAGGAAUCUGGAAAGAAAGAUAAUGAAAAUGAAUGUGACACUUGUUCGCGACAAAAUAUAAGGUCAGAGGCAAAAUUUUGGUGUCAAGACUGCAGGGAUUCUUUUUGUGAACAAUGCAUUAAGUAACAUAAGGUUAUGAAAUUUUCUGCUGAUCAUAACGUCGUUCAGAUCAGUCAAAUAAGCAUGGAUAAAC